rnacentral:tRNA from 1 species
GGACCAUUAGCUCAGUUGGUUAGAGCACCCCGCUCAUAACGGGGAGACCCGGGGUUCAAGUCCCUGAUGGUCCA